rnacentral:rRNA from 1 species
UGGGGAAUUUUGGACAAUGGGCGAAAGCCUGAUCCAGCAAUGCCGCGUGUGUGAAGAAGGCCUUCGGGUUGUAAAGCACUUUUGUCCGGAAAGAAAUCCUUGGCUCUAAUACAGUCGGGGGAUGACGGUACCGGAAGAAUAAGCACCGGCUAACUACGUGCCAGCAGCCGCGGUAAUACGUAGGGUGCAAGCGUUAAUCGGAAUUACUGGGCGUAAAGCGUGCGCAGGCGGUUUGCUAAGACCGAUGUGAAAUCCCCGGGCUCAACCUGGGAACUGCAUUGGUGACUGGCAGGCUAGAGUAUGGCAGAGGGGGGUAGAAUUCCACGUGUAGCAGUGAAAUGCGUAGAGAUGUGGAGGAAUACCGAUGGCGAAGGCAGCCCCCUGGGCCAAUACUGACGCUCAUGCACAGAAAGCGUGGGGAGCAAAACAGGAUUAGAUACCCUGGUAGUCCACGCCCU